rnacentral:rRNA from 1 species
UACGUAGGGGGGCAAGCGUUGUCCGGAUUUACUGGGCGUAAAGAGCGUGUAGGCGGCCAAACAGGUCCGUUGUGAAAACUGGAGGCUUAACCUCCAGACGUCGACGGAAACCGUAUGGCUAGAGUCCGGAAGAGGAGAGUGGAAGUUCCGUGGUGUAGCGGUGAAAUGCGCAGAUAUCAGGAAGAACACCAAUGGCGAAGGCAGCUCUCUGGGACGGUACUGACGCUGAGACGCGAAAGCGUGGGGAGCGAACAGG